GACGAACGCUGGCGGCGUGCCUAAUACAUGCAAGUCGAACGCACAGUUUAUACCGUAGCUUGCUACACCAUAAACUGUGAGUUGCGAACGGGUGAGUAACGCGUAGGUAACCUGCCUGGUAGCGGGGGAUAACUAUUGGAAACGAUAGCUAAUACCGCAUAAUAUUGAUUAUUGCAUGAUAAUUGAUUGAAAGAUGCUAUUGCAUCACUACCAGAUGGACCUGCGUUGUAUUAGCUAGUAGGUGAGGUAACGGCUCACCUAGGCGACGAUACAUAGCCGACCUGAGAGGGUGAUCGGCCACACUGGGACUGAGACACGGCCCAGACUCCUACGGGAGGCAGCAGUAGGGAAUCUUCGGCAAUGGACGAAAGUCUGACCGAGCAACGCCGCGUGAGUGAAGAAGGGUUUCGGAUCGUAAAGCUCUGUUGUAAGAGAAGAACGGGUGUGAGAGUGGAAAGUUCACACUGUGACGGUAUCUUACCAGAAAGGGACGGCUAACUACGUG
rnacentral:rRNA from 1 species